ensembl:lncRNA
GUUGUCUUAGGUCUCUCUUUAUGUAGUGUUGUGGUGUCUCUCUUUAUGUAGUGUUGUGUUGUCUUAGGUCUCUCUUUAUGUAGUGUUGUCUUAGGUCUCUCUUUAUGUAGUGUUGUGGUGUCUUUAUGUAGUAUUGUGGUGUCUUAGGUCUCUCUUUAUGUAGUGCUGUGUUGUCUUUGUGUUGUGGUGUCUUAGGUCUCUCUUUAUGUAGUGUUGUGUUGUCUUUAUGUAGUGUUGUGGUGUCUUAGGUCUCUCUUUAUGUAGUGUUGUGGUGUCUCUCUUUAUGUAGUGUUGUGUUGUCUUAGGUCUCUCUUUAUGUAGUGUUGUGUUGUCUUAGGUCUCUCUUUAUGUAGUGUUGUCUUAGGUCUCUCUUUAUGUAGUGUUGUGUUGUCUUAGGUCUCUCUUUAUGUAGUGUUGUGGUGUCUCUCUUUAUGUAGUGUUGUGUUGUCUUAGGUCUCUCUUUAUGUAGUGUUGUGUUGUCUUAGGUCUCUCUUUAUCUAGUGUUGUGUUGUCUUUAUGUAGUGUUGUGUUGUCUUAGGUCUCUCUUUAUGUAGUGUUGUGUUGUCUUAGGUCUCUCUUUAUGUAGUGUGGUGUUGUCUUAGGUCUCUC